UCUCUCCUUCUCCCUCGUUUCUCUUUCUCCAUUUUCCCCCAAAUCCUCUAACCCUAGUCUCCUUCCCUUCUUUCGACGAAAUCCACGAAUCGCUGCCCCCGUCGCGUCUCACGGAGGCGUCCGCCGCCACCGACGCCACCUACCUCAAUCCCCUCCACUCUUCUUCUGAAUUGAACGGAAAAUUCCAAAUCGGGGGGGGGGGGGGGGGGGCAUCGAACCCUAGGUAAACAUCGAGCGAGCGUGGCCGCCCUCUCUGUUGCGCCGGUCGUCGCGGCCAGAUCGUCGGAAGACUGGGACGGCCGUCGCGUGGACUUCCUCGCUCUCGGUGACGACACGGCGUCGCCGCCACCGCAGCCACUGCCACGGUCCGCGGUUCUUCCAGCCGCCGCCACCCAUCUCAUCGUCUUGGCGUCAUCGACCUUGCCUUCGGCGUCGACUCCUCCGAGUUCCGGUUCCAUUCGAGGUUCCAGCCACCCCGACCGUAGCUAAGUUCUCGUCCCCUAUCCCUCCGUCGGUUGAUGCUAUUUAUUGAGGUCUAAAGAAAAUAGGAUUCAAGGGUUCCUAUGUUUAAUCUAGCUAAAUCUUUAGUUAGCAUGAUUUUUGAUCCACUCGAUCCUCGUUUAAGGCUGGAAAUUCUCGUUCACUACAUCUGAUGUUGAUUUCAUUGUGCGAUGCUUCUCUGGUUUGGUUUAACUAGUGCAUAUGUUUAGAGGAACUACUGAUUUUAGCUUAGCAUGAGGAGCCUAUGUUCUAUCGAGCAUAAGUCCGAUUCUCUCGUUCUAUCGUGGCUUACAUGGUGCAUAGGCUGUAUUCAACACUAUCAUGUUAUGUGUUUCCUAGUGCAAAAUGUUGCUACAUGAUGAGUUGAUGGGAUUAUCAUUGUUUUGAGUUUGAGGGGGAAUGACUUUUUACCUCCUUUGCUCGGCUCAAACCCCUACCCAAGCCUCGGUCUCUCUCACCCUUUAGCUUUACUGAUUGUGAUGAUAUGCGGUGGUGAAGGGGCAAGGCCGAGGGUUAUCACUUAUAUACAUAUGAUGUAUAACUGAAAGCCUGAAAAAGGCUGAUUGUUUGAGCAGAGGAGGAGUCCUUGAUUGGUUGUGUUUUGGUUGUUUUCCUGCACCAAUGCAGGGUGUGUACUCGUGGGGAUAAAUGCCAGUUCUAAUCCUCAUUGGUUGCCUCUUGGCAGAGUAUCUCUGUCUCUCUCUGCCCCUUGCUGUUACUUUUCUGAAUUUGUUGUGCAGUCUUGCAGGUCUAGGGUGGGGGCAGAGGCCGUUGCUGGAGUGCAGGCUCUUGCUGCUAUCUCUUUUGUUUUGGCUCUUUUUGGCAGGUGCACAAAGGGGUACAACCGGUCAAAUGCAGCCUUGCAGAGGAUCUGCAACUGCUGGGUACAACUGGGUUAUAGGGUGGCAGCCCUUUCUCCUUUCCUAUUUUGUAGCUGAUCUAUGGUGACGGGUGGGUGAGGAGUCGACUGAUGGGGCGCAUUUCUCUGCCUUAGGCCGACGGUCGAUCGAAGACACGGCGUGAUCGUGGCUCGGCUUGAUAGGCUGGGCACUAGCUUGCUUUGUUAAACACUUGUAUUCACAUAUUGGUAACUUAGACGCUGUGAUGUAUGUAAUAUCUUGGCUAGAAACGAGAUUAUGUUUUUUUUUUAAUUUCUCCUCUUGUAUGAUUUCGAGUGUUUUAACUCGUGAAGUAAUUAAGAGCGCAAAUUUCUUUUUA